rnacentral:rRNA from 1 species
UACGUAGGUGGCGAGCGUUGUCCGGAAUUACUGGGUGUAAAGCGCGCGUAGGCGGUCGGCCAAGUCUGCGGUGAAAUCGCUCGGCUCAACUGGGCGGGGUCCGUGGAAACUGGUCAACUGGAGGACGGUAGAGGCAAGUGGAAUUCCCGGUGUAGUGGUGAAAUGCGUAGAGAUCGGCAGGAACACCCAGGGGGAAACCAGUCGACUGGGCAUCUACUGACGCUGAGGUGCGAGAGCGUGGGGAGCGAACCGG